GGAUGAGCCCGCGGCCUAUUAGCUAGUUGGUGAGGUAAUGGCCCACCAAGGCAACGACGGGUAGCCGGCCUGAAAGGGCGAUCGGCCACACUGGAACUGAGACACGGACGAGACUCCUACGGGAGGCAGCAGUGAGGAAUUUUCCGCAAUGGACGAAAGUCUGACGGAGCGACGCCGUGUGUGUGAUGAAGUCUUUAGGGAUGUAAAACACUGUCGAGAGGGACGAUAUUGACGGUACCUCUGGAUGAGCCCGCGGCCUACGCGCAGGCCUAACAAGUGUACGUGCCAGCAGCCGCGGCCG
rnacentral:rRNA from 1 species